rnacentral:misc_RNA from 1 species
AGUCUGAUCGUAUCCAGUCAUGGCCUCUGCUACAGGAGGAAGCAAACGUUAUGACGGGUAGGUGGCUACUGUAGAAACUGAUGGAUGGGAAGUAGUAAACUGAUGGAUGGGCAGUCGUAUUGUGCUUUUGACAUCAAUAUUUUUAAUUAUUGUCGAAGAUCAGUGUACUACAUGAAAAAAAACAAGAGUGUUAAAAGAUAGGAACAGAUUACCGACAUAGCCACGGAUACAGAGUCAAAAAGGUGGAAUUCUUGUUGUAUGUGUAUGUACUGAAUUAAAAAUACUUACCUUCAGUUGUUUGUUUAGAAACUUCUCUUUAUAGAAAUAUCAAUACAAAAGUGUUUAUAGACCAGUUCUAUGUACAAAUAUACGAACAGAGGUUACUAGUAAGUUUAAAUAUCGAUCAAUUUCUUUUUUUCAAUGUCCAGUCUUGUAAAAAUAUUUUUUUAAAAACCCAUUAAUAACUUUGACUACAUAUAGACAUUCAUAUUGUAUUACCUAAGUUGUGUUACGUUAAGGGCCAGUUUCCUUUCAUUCAUAUUGUAUUAAACUUAUUUGAAUAUUUUUCAUUUCGCUAAAUAUCAUUUAUUAUAUUAAAAAGAAAAAAGUAAAGAUUUUAG